rnacentral:rRNA from 1 species
GACGAACGCUGGCGGCGUGCUUAACACAUGCAAGUCGAACGGAAAGGCCCUGCUUUUGUGGGGUGCUCGAGUGGCGAACGGGUGAGUAACACGUGAGUAACCUGCCCUUGACUUUGGGAUAACUUCAGGAAACUGGGGCUAAUACCGGAUAGGAGCUCCUGCUGCAUGGUGGGGGUUGGAAAGUUUCGGCGGUUGGGGAUGGACUCGCGGCUUAUCAGCUUGUUGGUGGGGUAGUGGCUUACCAAGGCUUUGACGGGUAGCCGGCCUGAGAGGGUGACCGGCCACAUGGGGACUGAGAGACGGCCCAGACUCCUACAGGAGGCAGCAGUGGGGAAUAUUGCACAAUGGGCGGAAGCCUGAUGCAGCAACGCCGCGUGCGGGAUGACGGCCUUCGGGUUGUAAACCGCUUUCGCCUGUGACGAAGCGUGAGUGACGGUAAUGGGUAAAGAAGCACCGGCUAACUACGUG